GACGAACGCUGGCGGCGCGCUUAACACAUGCAAGUCGAACGGAAAGGCCCUGCUUUUGUGGGGUGCUCGAGUGGCGAACGGGUGAGUAACACGUGAGUAACCUGCCCUUGACUUUGGGAUAACUUCAGGAAACUGGGGCUAAUACCGGAUAGGAGCUCCUGCUGCAGGGUGGGGGUUGGAAAGUUUCGGCGGUUGGGGAUGGACUCGCGGCUUAUCAGCUUGUUGGUGGGGUAGUGGCUUACCAAGGCUUUGACGGGUAGCCGGCCUGAGAGGGUGACCGGCCACAUUGGGACUGAGAUACGGCCCAGACUCCUACGGGAGGCAGCAGUGGGGAAUAUUGCACAAUGGGCGGAAGCCUGAUGCAGCAACGCCGCGUGCGGGAUGACGGCCUUCGGGUUGUAAACCGCUUUCGCCUGUGACGAAGCGUGAGUGACGGUAAUGGGUAAAGAAGCACCGGCUAACUACGUG
rnacentral:rRNA from 1 species